rnacentral:rRNA from 1 species
UACGUAGGGUGCAAGCGUUGUCCGGAAUUAUUGGGCGUAAAGAGCUCGUAGGCGGUCUGUCGCGUCUGCUGUGAAAACUCAGGGCUUGACCCUGAGCUUGCAGUGGGUACGGGCAGACUAGAGUGCGGUAGGGGAGACUGGAAUUCCUGGUGUAGCGGUGAAAUGCGCAGAUAUCAGGGAGGAACACCGGUGGGCGAAAGGCGGGUCUCUGGGCCGGUAACUGACGCUGGAGGAGCGAAAGCAUGGGGAGCGAACA